AAUAGUCCCAUCAGAGAGAACACUCGCUGAUUUACUGUUAGGAGAGGAACCUGAGUAAAAGGUUUCAAAGUGUGAUCCCAGUGGGGCUUCAAAAGCUUCUAAGGGGCGAUGUAUGAAUGAAGCUAAGGAAAUUACCCACCAGCUAUCAAAAGAAUAAAUGUAUCUUUUGUGGCUCAUAAGCUCAGAAGCUCUGUUUAAUGAGAGCAUUUAAACUACAUACCAUUGUGUAGCACACAUAUUGUCAGGAUCUGGGUUUGUGUGUGUGUGUGUGUGUGUGUGUGUUUGUGUUUUUUGCUACAUGUGCUCAUUCCCAGGUGGUGCUGGAGCUCUCAGGUGUGCUGGAUGACAGGUGCGACUUGUUCCACUGAUUACCAUGAGGAAUACUUAAGCAGAAGGCUGCCAGAAUGUCAAUGCGAGAGUGUUUUGCCACCAGUGAUUUUGAAAGCCUAUGCUUUGGAUCUAUGUCACUAUGCUUUGAGGAUUGCAUAUCCUAUCUUCUGUCUUCGCAUCAAGCUGGCAGCUUUCCUGCUCUCUAUGUCUCCUGAGCCAAGCCACAAGCGUACCCUGUCCACCCUCCAACGUAAGCCACCACACAUCAAACUAAUACCUUUGCCCCAAGCUCGCACUGAACAGCACCAACUGAACUCUCAAUGGAUAUUCCUGCCUAAGACCUGAAUCUCAUUCCCCCUGGCGACCUGACCAUUGUUACCCAGUAAGCCGAUCUCUGCAUCUUGUUAAUCAUUUAUUCUUAGUUUCGUUAUCCCUUUCGUUACCCGUACUCAUCCAUUCUCUUCACGUCUUUCCCUACAGCGAGAUUCUUGUCAGUUUUUGUUUGUUUCAAUAAAAUGGUCUUUCUUUUA